rnacentral:rRNA from 1 species
UACAGAGGGGGCAAGCGUUAUUCGGAAUUAUUGGGCGUAAAGGGCGCGUAGGCGGCUUUGCAAGUGACGGGUGAAAGCCCUCGGCUUAACCGAGGAACUGCCUGUCAGACUGUGAGGCUUGAGACCGGGAGAGGUGAGUGGAAUUCCCAGUGUAGCGGUGAAAUGCGUAGAUAUCAGGAGGAACACCGGUGGCGAAGGCGGAUCUCUGGACCAGUUCUGACACUGAUGAGCGAAAGCCAGGGGAGCAAACAGG